AAUUUUCCACCUUGUACAUAUAAAUAAUGGUGCACUCUACUUACAUGCGAAGAAAAUCAAAGAGAUUAAAAAUUUUCUAAUCUGUUCGGUCAAUUAAGAAGAUAUCUUCGUAAACAAAAAAAUUUUAAUUAAAAUAUUUCGAAAAUGGCUGCUUGAUUCACUACGUGCCUACUUAUCAUUAUACUAUCAAUCGGAUAUUUUUGUGAUAGAAAUAUGUCAGUGAUACCAUUGGAUGGAUCUUAUGGUCUGCCUGUUGUAAUUGAUUUUUUUAACCAAAAUUUAUACAUUAUUACUCGUAUUUUAGUUAAAAAGUAGAAUACAUACCUUUUUAGAAACGUCGUGUAUGUUAAAAUCUUCAAAAUAUGCGCGGGCUACUAUUCUUGAUAGCAAUGAUUUCGAUGAAUUUGGUUCUAAAUGCAGUUUCAGUUUCAAGUCAAAGACUCUUCAGCUUCGAAGAACCGGAUAAGAAAUUUGAAGCUACGGAACAAGCAUUAAAAAAAGCAUUGAGGGAACUGGACAAUGGGAAAACCACCGAUAAAUAUGGAGUAAAUCCGCUGAAUACCUAGUGGCAAAAAACCAUGAAAUGUUGAAUGAAAAUUCCGUUGGCGAGGAAGCAGCGUUUCAUUUCCAAUUCUAUUCUAAUUUUAAAAUACCAAGGGACAGAAAUGUACAUAUAUUUAUUAAGCGAUGUCAUAUUUCAGUCGAGAUACCCCUUCACCCUCAUUUCUCAUCUUCAAGCAUCGAUAAAACUGUAAGGGAGAAGUUGUUAAUGAAUGAAAAAAAGGCAACAGCGCUUUCGAUACAUUCAGCACAAUUUUUGAUUCAUUUGUGGCAAGAUAUCAUAAACAAACUAAUUCAACAUUUUGUAUGUACAUAUUUUUACCUAUAAUUAAAAGAAAUUAUUUUUGAA